rnacentral:rRNA from 1 species
UACGUAGGGUGCAAGCGUUAAUCGGAAUUACUGGGCGUAAAGCGUGCGCAGGCGGUUUUGUAAGUCUGACGUGAAAUCCCCGGGCUCAACCUGGGAAUUGCGUUGGAGACUGCAAGGCUAGAAUCUGGCAGAGGGGGGUAGAAUUCCACGUGUAGCAGUGAAAUGCGUAGAUAUCUGGAGGAAUACCGGUGGCGAAGGCGGCAUCCUGGACCGGCAUUGACGCUGAGGAGCGAAAGCCAGGGGAGCAAACGGG